UACGUAGGGUGCGAGCGUUAAUCGGAAUUACUGGACGUAAAGCGUGCGCAGGCGGUUUUGUAAGCCAGAUGUGAAAUCCCCGGGCUUAACCUGGGAAUGGCAUUUGGGACUGCAAGGCUCGAGUGCGGCAGAGGAGACUGGAAUUCCUGGUGUAGCAGUGAAAUGCGUAGAUAUCAGGAGGAACACCGGUGGCGAAGGCGGCAUCCUGGACCGACAUUGACGCUGAGGCGCGAAAGCCAGGGGAGCAAACGGG
rnacentral:rRNA from 1 species